UGUUAGAAGUAAGUCUUUAAUCCAGCGUCACAUAGUAACCACAGAUGGCUCAUGGGAUUAAAAAUAUUAACAAGCUGAUACUUAGUGAUGUGUUUGAUUUAUUACAGUUGCAUUGAGUCAACAGCUUGAACAAAAUGAACCCAAUUAGCAAUGACAUCUGGCAUAACAAUUGUAAAUAGAUCCCUAAAGGAAACAACAAGCUCACAAUUCCCCAUUCAGAGGAAACACCAAGACAAAACACAGGCCACGUGCACAAGUCCAAAGAUGUGAGACACUCGCAGUCUUUCUGUCUCCUGGGUCUGUGUAGCACACAUGGAACCCUCUCUGACUCACCAUCAGUGCCAGUGCGGUUACACUGAUCAAAAUAUUUGUUGUAACACACAAUGCAAAUGUAGUAGAAAUAUUAGUAAAAUACAUGACCUCUGAGCACAGAAGAGGAAGAAAAAUGUAAUACUGAAAACCAGCCAAUGAACACUUGAACAUGGAGAAAGUAAAUCUGGGUUCUACAUCACCAUGUUACAAUGAUAUAUGUAGUAUUAUGUAGUACAAAUCCCGUCAUUUUAGACAUCACGCUGAUGAAGGACUUUUGUCACAAAUGUCCACAAGUAUUUAUGUUGUUGUUGCUGUACUCUUUUCUUUUCUUUCUUAUUUUUCUUAUAGGCCUAUAUGUAUCACUGAUUUGCGUGUCUGAACAUUUACAAUCUGAUCUUACUUUAACCGUGAUAAGAUUUCUUUGACAAUGCCUCUGCAACAUUAAAUUUUCUGUCAUAUUUCCUGACCAACUUCAGCAAAACCAAGCUUUGCUUUUGGAUAGACAUUUACUCAUAAUAUUUUGUACCAGUAAAUGACCAUGCAAUUACAAUGUGCUAUAUUCUAUAUAAAUGGCAAUGAUCACUGUAAAUAUGUUUGAAAGCUGUUAAACUAUUUCAGUCAGUCUUGAUAAAACCAGAAGUCUUUUCUCUGUAUGGUAUCUGUAUUAAUAACUAAAGAUGAUGGUCUCCCGCCUGUUGCAUAAUAAGCUGUUUUGUUCUGUGCCGCUGUAGUAUGACUACGUUAUCGUCAUUUGGCUGUGGGAUGCCAGUCGUGCAGGGAGCUGUGUCACUUCAGAGAGUUCUCACCACAGAGGAAUGGUCUACAGUUCCAGAGAGUGGUUGCACAGGAUGUGGCACUCACUAUAACCCUUCUCCUCAAGAGAGAUAAGGGUUGCGGUGGAGCCUGGAGGAUAUCCGAGGGUACUCAGGGCACAAGGCAGGAGACACCCUGGAUGGGGUGCCAAUCCAUCACAGGGCACAAUCACACACACAGCAGACACUUUAGUGAUGCCAAUCAGCCUACAACGCAUGUUGGAAAACCAGAGGAAACCCCUGAAGCACAGGGAGAACUAUAGAAAAAUUUUUCUGUUGUCUUUAUUAAUUUCAUCUGUUGUCAAUCAGUAUUUGUUAAUCAGUGUUGUAAUGACAAUCAGUAUUAUGUCAGUAGUAUUGUAAAAUCAUGACUUUAAAUCACCUCAUGUUAAAUCAAUGUGAAUGUAUGCAGAGGAAUUCAGAUAACCUGAUGUGACCUGGUUUGUGGAAAGUACCUAACUUUCAGUUUUAUUCAUACACUACAUUGUAUCUUUUCUGAUAACUCUUUUUAAAAAAAUAAGCUGACUCAGCUCGUGCCACAAUUCCAAUGUAGCAAAUUGAACAAUGGGAUAACUGUGGCGAACGAAAGGGGUGUGAUUUAAAAGAAAAAAUGAGAAAACUCCACCUAAUGAGAUCAUUGUUUUAGAAUUAUAUAAAAUCACGAGCCACGACUAUGUAAAUCAGAUGCUCUGCAGACAUCUCGGCUUUGUUGGUUGAUUCAAUAAAGUCUAAUGAUUUUU